UACGUAGGGUGCAAGCGUUAAUCGGAAUUACUGGGCGUAAAGCGUGCGCAGGCGGUUCUAUAAGACAGAUGUGAAAUCCCCGGGCUCAACCUGGGAACUGCAUUUGUGACUGUAGAGCUGGAGUGCGGCAGAGGGGGAUGGAAUUCCACGUGUAGCGGUGAAAUGCGUAGAGAUGUGGAGGAACACCGAUGGCGAAGGCAGCCUUCUGGGCCAACACUGACGCUCAUGCACGAAAGCGUGGGGAGCAAACAGG
rnacentral:rRNA from 1 species